ensembl:lncRNA
CCUCUCUCCUUUCCUCUCAUCCAUCUCUCGCUCUCCUUUUCCCUGCUCUCCUUCCCUCACCUCUCUCUCUCUCCCUCCUCCUUCCUCUCAUCCAUCUCUCUCUCUCUCCUUUCCUUCCCUCUCUCCUUUCCUCUCAUCCAUCUCUCUCUCUCCUUUCGCUCUCUCCUUUCCUCUCAUCCAUCUCUCCUCUCCUCCUUUGUCCCUCUCUCCUUUCCUCUCAUCAUGCAUCCACUCUCCUCCUCUCCUCUCCUUUCCCUCUCUCCUUUCCUCUCAUCCAUCUCUCUCUCUCCUUUCCUCUCUCUCCUUUCCUCCAUAUCCAUCUCUCGCUCUCUCUCUUCCUUUGUCCUCUCCCUCCCUUCCUCUAAUCCAUCUCUCUCUCUCCUUUCCUCUCAUCCAUCUCUCUCUCUCCUUUCGCUCUCUCCUUUCCUCUCAUCCAUCUCUCUCUCUCCAGGACACUGUGAGGGUGAGCGGUAUGAGCAGUAUUAAGAUGAAGAUGAUGCCCAAGGUGAAGAGGGAGAGAGAGAAGCUCCACAAGCAGAAGUCCAAUAGCUCUCUGUCAGGAUCUUGGGAUAUUAAAGGUGGCGCAAAUGAGAUGGCUCCUUCAGGCAAUUGAGGAACUUAAACUCAAAGGCUUAACAAGAAAUCCUGAUUGGAAGAUGUUUUAACCCGAAGGGAAUCAGCAGGAAAUCCAGGAAUCCUCCAACAAGGAAAAAGUCA